UAGGGAAUUUUCCACAAUGGGCGAAAGCCUGAUGGAGCAACGCCGCGUGCAGGAUGACGGCCUUCGGGUUGUAAACUGCUUUUAUGAGUGACGAUAAUGACAGUAGCUCAAGAAUAAGGGUCGGCUAACUACGUGCCAGCAGCCGCGGUCAUACGUAGGACCCAAGCGUUAUCCGGAAUCACUGGGCGUAAAGAGUUGCGUAGGUGGCUUGUUAAGCAUCGCGUGAAAGCGCACGGCUCAACCGUGUACACAUGUAAUGAACUGGCAAGCUAGAGAAUGAGAGAGGUCACUGGAAUUCCAAGUGUAGGAGUGAAAUCCGUAGAUAUUUGGAGGAACACCGAUGGCGUAGGCAGGUGACUGGCUCAUUUCUGACACUAAGGCACGAAAGCGUGGGGAGCAA
rnacentral:rRNA from 1 species